rnacentral:rRNA from 1 species
AGUAAACGGCGGCCGUAACUAUAACGGUCCUAAGGUAGCGAAAUUCCUUGUCGGGCAAGUUCCGACCUGCACGAAUGGCAUAAUAAUGGCCACACUGUCUCCUCCCGAGACCCAGUGAAAUUGAAAUGUUUGUGAUGAUGCAAUCUCCCCGCGGCUAGACGGAAAGACCCCAUGAACCUUAACUGUAGCUUUGCAUUGGACUUUGAACCGAUCUGUGUAGGAUAGGCGGGAGGCUUUGAAGGACGGACGCCAGUUCGCCCGGAGCCGUCGUUGAAAUACCGCCCUGGUUUGUUUGAGGUUCUAACCUUGGCCGGUUAUCCCGGCCGGGGACCGUGCAUGGUGGGCAGUUUGACUGGGGCGGUCUCCUCCUAAAGGGUAACGGAGGAGUGCGAAGGUACGCUAAUCACGGUCGGAAAUCGUGAGGAUACUGCAAUGGGAAAAGCGUGCCUGACUGCGAGACCUACAAGUCGAGCAGAAGCGAAAGCUGGUCAUAGUGAUCCGGUGGCACUGCAUGGAAGGGCCAUCGCUCAACGGAUAAAAGGUACUCUGGGGAUAACAGGCUGAUACCGCCCAAGAGUUCAUAUCGACGGCGGUGUUUGGCACCUCGAUGUCGGCUCAUCUCAUCCUGGGGCUGUAGCCGGUCCCAAGGGUAUGGCUGUUCGCCAUUUAAAGAGGUACGUGAGCUGGGUUUAAAACGUCGUGAGACAGUUUGGUCCCUAUCUACCGCGGGCGCUGGAAGAUUGACAGGGGCUGCUCCUAGUACGAGAGGACCGGAGUGGACGCACCUCUGGUGUACCGGUUGUGACGCCAGUCGCAUUGCCGGGUAGCUAUGUGCGGAAGAGAUAACCGCUGAAAGCAUCUAAGCGGGAAACUUGCCUGAAGAUUAGUCUUCCCGGAGGCUUGACCUCCCUGAAGGGUCGUCCGAGACCAGGACGUUGAUAGGCCGGGUGUGGAAGCGCUGUGAGGCGCGCAGCUAACCGGUACUAAUUGCCCGUGAGGCUUGAUCCU